AACGAAAUGAGGGUUUCCUUUAGAUAAAAUGAGCUUCACUGUCUCUGGAUAAACAAAGGUAACAAACCCAAACAUACGCUUCUGCUGAUAUGGGAUCCUCACGUCUUGAACAGGACCAUAAAUACUUCAUCAACAACAAAAACCAAGUGGUAGAAGAAGAAGGAGUAGCAGAAGAAUCUCUCAGACUCUCACACUGCCCCUACCGCGGUAACGAGCAGUGAUUGAGUAGGAGCUAGUACUUGGAGUCUAGAGUAGUUCCUUAGUGGGUCAUGCUCUGAUAGAUGUAACAUCGGGACGGGAUGUUUUACUUGUUUUCAUUGAUGAUUGUUGAAUAAGCU